rnacentral:tRNA from 1 species
GCCGUGGCGAUAGCUCAGUGGGUAAAGUGCCAGAUGAGUAGAUGGCGAUUACUCCGAGAGCUAUUAUCCAGGCGGGUUCGAAUCCCGCCUGUGGCA